rnacentral:rRNA from 1 species
GCAAGUCGAACGAACUUCCGUUAAUUGAUUAUGACGUACUUGUACUGAUUGAGAUUUUAACACGAAGUGAGUGGCGAACGGGUGAGUAACACGUGGGUAACCUGCCCAGAAGUAGGGGAUAACACCUGGAAACAGAUGCUAAUACCGUAUAACAGAGAAAACCGCAUGGUUUUCUUUUAAAAGAUGGCUCUGCUAUCACUUCUGGAUGGACCCGCGGCGUAUUAGCUAGUUGGUGAGGUAAAGGCUCACCAAGGCAGUGAUACGUAGCCGACCUGAGAGGGUAAUCGGCCACAUUGGGACUGAGACACGGCCCAGACUCCUACGGGAGGCAGCAGUAGGGAAUCUUCCACAAUGGACGCAAGUCUGAUGGAGCAACGCCGCGUGAGUGAAGAAGGGUUUCGGCUCGUAAAGCUCUGUUGUUAAAGAAGAACGUGGGUAAGAGUAACUGUUUACCCAGUGACGGUAUUUAACCAGAAAGCCACGGCUAACUACGUGCCAGCAGCCGCGGUAAUACGUAGGUGGCAAGCGUUAUCCGGAUUUAUUGGGCGUAAAGCGAGCGCAGGCGGUCUUUUAAGUCUAAUGUGAAAGCCUUCGGCUCAACCGAAGAAGUGCAUUGGAAACUGGGAGACUUGAGUGCAGAAGAGGACAGUGGAACUCCAUGUGUAGCGGUGAAAUGCGUAGAUAUAUGGAAGAACACCAGUGGCGAAGGCGGCUGUCUGGUCUGCAACUGACGCUGAG